CCUACGGGAGGCAGCAGUGAGGAAUAUUGGUCAAUGGACGAGAGUCUGAACCAGCCAAGUAGCGUGAAGGAUGACUGCCCUAUGGGUUGUAAACUUCUUUUAUAUGGGAAUAAAAUGUUCCACGUGUGGGAUUUUGUAUGUACCAUAUGAAUAAGGAUCGGCUAACUCCGUGCCAGCAGCCGCGGUAAUACGGAGGAUCCGAGCGUUAUCCGGAUUUAUUGGGUUUAAAGGGAGCGUAGGUGGAUUGUUAAGUCAGUUGUGAAAGUUUGCGGCUCAACCGUAAAAUUGCAGUUGAAACUGGCAGUCUGGAGUACAGUAGAGGUGGGCGGAAUUCGUGGUGUAGCGGUGAAAUGCUUAGAGAUCACGAAGAACUCCGAUGGCGAAGGCAGCUCACUGGACUGCAACUGACACUGAGGCUCGAAAGUGUGGGUAUCAAACAGGAUUAGAUACCCCAGUAGUC
rnacentral:rRNA from 1 species